rnacentral:misc_RNA from 1 species
AACCAUUCUCACCUGCGGCUAGACCUGCGGAAGGAUCAUUAUCGUUGGGCUCCUGCCCAUUCGAGAUAACACCCUUGCCUUUUUGAGUACCUUUUCGUUUCCUCGGCAGGCACGCCUGCCAACGGGGACCCUUCAAAACGCUUUGUAAUACCUGUCAUUGUCUGAUAUAACAAGCAAAAAUCAAAACUUUCAGCAACGGAUCU